GAUGAACGCUGGCGGCGUGCCUAACACAUGCAAGUCGAGCGAUUUACUUCGGUAAAGAGCGGCGGACGGGUGAGUAACGCGUGGGUAACCUGCCCUAUACACACGGAUAACAUACCGAAAGGUAUGCUAAUACGGGAUAACAUAAGAGAUUCGCAUGGAUUUCUUAUCAAAGCUUUUGCGGUAUAGGAUGGACCCGCGUCUGAUUAGCUAGUUGGUGAGGUAACGGCUUACCAAGGCGACGAUCAGUAGCCGACCUGAGAGGGUGAUCGGCCACAUUGGAACUGAGACACGGUCCAAACUCCUACGGGAGGCAGCAGUGGGGAAUAUUGCACAAUGGGCGAAAGCCUGAUGCAGCAACGCCGCGUGAGCGAUGAAGGCCUUCGGGUCGUAAAACUCUGUCCUCAAGGAAGAUAAUGACGGUACUUGAGGAGGAAGCCCCGGCUAACUACGUGCCAGCAGCCGCGGUAAUACGUAGGGGGCUAGCGUUAUCCGGAAUUACUGGGCGUAAAGGGUGCGUGGGUGGUUUCUUAAGUCAGAGGUGAAAGGCUACGGCUCAACCGUAGUAAGCCUUUGAAACUGAGAAACUUGAGUACAGGAGAGGAGAGUAGAAUUCCUAGUGUAGCGGUGAAAUGCGUAGAUAUUAGGAGGAAUACCAGUUGCGAAGGCGGCUCUCUGGACUGUAACUGACACUGAGGCACGAAAGCGUGGGGAGCAAACAGGAUUAGAUACCCUGGUAGUCCACGCCGUAAACGAUGAGUACUAGCUGUCGGAGGUUACCCCCUUCGGUGGCGCAGCUAACGCAUUAA
rnacentral:rRNA from 1 species